rnacentral:tRNA from 1 species
GGACAGGUAGCUCAGUUGGUAGAGCACGGGACUGAAAAUCCCGGUGUCGGGAGUUCAAUUCUCCCCCUGUCCACCA